CCUAGUGGCGUAUCCAAAGUUUCAGAGUCAGAAGGUGAAUAUUUUAGGGUGCCAGAGAAUAACUUUGACUACUACCCCCAUUACUUCUAAAUGUUAUUUUCUGAGCACCUGCUAUGUUCUAGGCACUGUGCUGCACUUGCCAGAGACUUAUUCACUCCCUAGAACAACCCUCUCGGACGAACAGUAGACACACUGCGGGUUCUGCAGUGCUCAGAGACUUGCCUGGGUUCCCACAAUUAGUAAGGGGAUGAGCUAGAAGCCCAAGUCAAGGCCAAGGUAUGCUCAGUUCACCCCAAACACACCAGGCUUUAUGAUGCUAGUUCUUAACAUGGGGCUGCAUCUCCUGCCAGGAAGCCCUGUCCCCUGAUGUGUUCCCCACCUUUUUUCAUUUUGUAAGUCUGUUGGAAGUGGACUUAUGCUCCUAAGGUUGUUGUAGGGACUGAAUAAGAUGCAUGCAAAGCAUUUAGCACAGAAUCUGGUAUUCAGUGUCCGUCCUCAACAUCGUGGUGCCCAUCACCACUGUGGACCUUUCUUUUCACCUCCAUCCGGUACACAUUUUGAAUCACAUUGUCUUUCACUUUUAGAAGAGAAGUUCGAAGCCAUGACGGUAUUCAGUAGUGGCAUCAGGACACAUCAAUUGUUCUCAUUCUCACCAUUGAACACUUCCUAGGUCCUUACUGUGUGACAAAAUUCUAUGUGUAGUUAUAUCGUAACGCCUAGGUAAACAGGCUUUCCUCCAUUUUAUAGAUGGGGAAACUAGCUUAAAUCACUUGUCCAAAACCAGAAAAGCGUGUGAGAGACAAAAGAGGGCACAUCAGACACUAAAAGCAACGCAGGAGCAGUUACACAAUGCAGAAAGAAGCUGCUGAGGAAAAAAAUGAACAGAAAGUUAAGUCUUCUUAAAUUAUUUUGGCUUAUUAUUUGAAGUCCUGUGAGCCACAGAGUUUUGAGUUGGAGUUAGGGGUUGGCCUUGUUGAAAACAGUGACAUCAGCUCCCUAUGAAAUCCACCAUCUCCAUUAACUUGACUGAAAUGGUUGCUAAUGCCCAAGAUAGGAACGUCAGAAUCAAAAAAAUAUUAAAGGAAUACUGGUCACAAGAUUGGAAAGUAUUCUUUUAAUUCUUUUCAAUAGAAUUAUCUACUUGAUUUCUAUAAAUUGCCAUAGUUAAUUUAAGAAGACAAGCAUAGAGCUUUUUCAGAGUGAGUCAGUCUUAAAAUCCCAACUACUAAAGGAGGAUAAUACAGACGAGAGGAAAUGCUGAAAGCUGGUCACCUUGGCCUGUCCUGAUGGGAUCGGGUGGAGGAAGAGAGGGAAACUAGGCGACAGAGUCAAAGAACAAGCCCAGAAAUUACCUUGUGGCUCCUCUAAUUUUUCAGGAAAACUUUCAUUGCAUGAUAGUUUUUCAAUUGGUUUAAUUAUGCUUUCUUCUAAAGAGAAGGCAGGUGGAAAGAAAGAGCGAAUGGUAAGGAGAAUGUUACAGGAAAAGCAGGGAAAAUGAAUCAGGUGAUUAAUGAAAAGAUCCAGAAUGAGCCCUUGAAAUGGGAAGACACUCCCCUGUGUGGUCACGGCUUUCCUUUGAUGCCAGGUGAGUUUUUCCCUGAAACUCAAGCUUCAUUCUAAUUGAUCUGUGUAAAUGGUUGGUUCUGUGAAUGUCACUUUAUAUACCCGAGAAAAAAUAAGUUAAUUACAGGCCCCCAGUGUAAGACACCUCAGCUUUAUCAGAUGGGUGAGUCUUUUCAGAGUCUAAAAACAUUGUGGAAAGUCUAGGUGUGAAAAUGUCCAACCAGAACACCUCACUGGACUGCUCCCUCAUGAAAACUGCAGUCAUCAAACUUGUUUGGCCAUUGCCACCCACGUUUUUAAGGGUUCCAUACCUCUUCACACACUUGCUGAUAUGUAAAACUUUUCAUCCUAAGUUUAGGAAGAGGAUGUUCUUUUUCUUCCUUUUAAAAAAUGUUUUUACUUUUGAGACAGGGUCUCACUAAGUUGCCCCCGCUGGCCUUGAAUUCUCAAUCCUCCUGCCUCAACCUCCUGAGAGUCAGGAUUUCAGGCAGGCACCACCAGGUCCGGCAUGCAAGAGGAUGUCACCGCCGGCAUAUUGUAAUUGUCAAUAUCCACCUAAAAUCAGUGUAUUUCUCCUUUAAAUAUAACCAAUGAAAUCUAAAGACCAUAGUGAUUUCAUGCCCAUAUUAUUGAUGUAAAAAUACAUGAGCAAGUUCUUUUUUCACAUUUUAUAUUUUCAUUCAUACUUCAGCUUCCAGUUUUUAUCCAAAUAUAAUUUAGUUUUAAAAGUCUUUAAAUUGAUCACUCAAAAAUCCAUAUAAACUUGAAACAAAGUCUGAUUUAGGUUAGUUAUAAUCAUAAUGAUUCAUUGUACAUAAUUACUAAAAAAAGAUGAGUAUUAUAAAUUUUGAUAACUAAAUAAGAAAAGUUUUCUUAGAAACAUCUCUUAAUAAGAAAGAUGAGACUUUUUCCAAAUAGCUUAUGUUUCAGCAAAUGAAUACUUGUUGUCGGGACUUUGCGGGCUCCAAUACCAGUGCUACUUCUCUGUCUCUGACUCUCUCUUUGUCUCUGUCAUUUAUGGAGACAGAAUCACUGAGAAACCUUUUAACUCAAAAGGGAAUAAAGGGUGUUUUGUGACAGCCUUGCUGAUAUAUUCUUUGUACUCUCUUCAAAUUUAUGGACCAAGAAUCAUAGCUCAGAUAAAAGGAUUUAACUGCCUGUCAACUAACAACCCAAUUAGAUUCUCCUUUAAUUUUUAGAAAGCUUAAAACUAGAAACCCCCUGCCAUUAGAAAGGAUUUGCUUCACAGGUACCUGGGAUACUUACUUUCUCAACUCUGACCUCAACAUAUCAAAGUGUCCCUUUGAUUGGCACCCAGAUAUUUUACAUUGGGGGAAAUAUAAAAGUCAAAAUCUUUUCUCUUGUAAAGCAGAAUUCAGAAACACCCUCCAAUAAGGAAGAUCCAUUUAGGAAGGAACCCAGAUGGAAGAUGAGGAUCUGGCAAAUGAUUCCCUUGGCACUCUUUGUGCUCAAUAGUUCAUAAGCUUUGUGUAUCCCUUGCACGGCCACACCCAUCUCCACUGGAAGAAGGGUAAAGAAGAGUCCACAAUGAUAUUUUUAUCCCUGAAGACAUUCACUUGUGAAAUUAACUGUGGAUUUAAAAUGUCAAGGAUUGCUUCUUAUCUGGGUUUUAUCUUCUACAUGGUUACUGCUUCACAACAGGUGCUCAGUAAAUGUUUCUCCAAGUGACGGAACUGAGCCCAAUUCUAGUUUCUAACCUCUUCCAGCUUCCGACAGGCCAUCUUCAAGGACCUGCAUGUACUCCCAGCCGGUCCCCACCUCCAAGCAUCUCUGGCUACUCUCUAGAAAUCCACACUGCUACAACCUACUCAUCAAGCCACCCGUGGGCAAGGGACACUGACUUGGAUGGCCUUUGAACUUGGGCCACCCCCGUGUGGGAGCACUAGACACAGGGAAGAGGACGCAUGGAACCUGAGGAUCUGGAAAUUGAUUAAGAAUGACCCCAGCAUACAUAAUAUCCUUUAGAGAUUUAUUAUCCAUCUCUUUGGGACAUGUGUACCCCCUGCCCCAGGUGAAGAAUUCAGCACUGCACAGUGCUAAGAAGCUAUUAGAUAAUAAGUGACUCGGGAUACUUUCUCCCUAUUCCUCUUCUGGUCCAAAGAUGAAGAAAACAAAGUAUUUUCCCAAAAUGUUCACUAAAAUUUAACCUAGACUAACUUCAAAGAUCACGUAAAUAAUAAUGACAUAAAUCAUAGAAAGAAAAGGAACUGCUAGAGACGUGUAACUCUCAGAAAAGGUUCAGAAAAUGGUCAAAAGAUGUUUGAACACAAAGGAAACUGAGAACUCAUCUGAACACCAUCAGAGGAAACCAUCAACUCUGUGCACGGUGUUCUGCGUCUGCACACUGGCGUGGGAAUUUCAAAUGGGUGUAAUGAUGACCAAGAGUGAGCUGGGCCUGCUGGCGGGCACGGGUAGCCCCAGCUCUGGGAGGCUGAGCCCAGGAGCUGGAGACCAGCCUGGGCAACACAGCUGAGACCUUGUCUCAAAAACAUAAAUGCACCAGAGCAUCAUGAAAGCUGAAGAGUAACCCUUCCCUACACACAUGCAAAUCAUCAUCCAUUACUGUGAAAACCUAAGUUUUGUAGCUUUUCAGAGGUAAGCAGAAAGAUUCGUGUUUCAGAGAAGAGAAUGUUAAGCUACCUCUUUGUCCUUUAUGGUAUAGUUCAUAAAAGGAAAUGAGUAAAAUAAAGUUGAUGCAUGGUAAAAAUAUCUUUUCCUGAGAAAACUGAGAUCUUACCGAAGU